AAUGAACGCUGGCGGUGUGCCUAACACAUGCAAGUCGAACGACAGCACAGUAAGCGCUUGCCCUUACUGUUGGCGGGUGACGGACGGGUGACGCAUGCAUAGGCAUCUUCUAUUUCGUGGAGAAUAUCGUAGGAACACUUACGCUACUACCUCAUACGAUCUACGGGUGGGAGCAAAAGAUCUAGGCAGCUUUCGCGUUUCUAUUAGCCGAUGUCGGAUUAGCUAGUUGGCGGGGUAAGGGCCCACCAAGGCGACGAUGCGUAGCUGGUCUGAGAGGAUGAUCAGCCACACUGGAACUGAGACACGGUCCAGACUCCUACGGGAGGCAGCAGUGGGGAAUAUUGGACAAUGGGCGCAAGCCUGACCCAGCAAUACCGCGUGAGUGAAGAAGGUCUUCGGGUUGUAAAGCUCUGUUGUUAGGAAAGAAAAGCUGCGGGUUAAUACGUCGCUGUUCUGACGGUACCCAAAGAAUAAGCACCGGCUAACUUCGUG
rnacentral:rRNA from 1 species